rnacentral:rRNA from 2 species
AAAUUCUAAUGUAAACUUAAAUGUUAAUCUGUANAGGUACAGCUCUACAGAAUAAGAUUACAACCUUAACUAGUGAGUAAAUUUAUCCAAUAACCAUAGUUGGCCUAAAAGCAGCCACCAAUUAAGAAAGCGUUCAAGCUCAACAAUAAAAUUUAUAUUUAAUUCAAAAAACAAUAUAAACUCCUAGUAUAACCACUGGAUUAUUCUACUCAUCCGUAGAAGAAAUACUGUUAAAAUGAGUAACAAGAUUUUAUAUCUCCAUACACACGUGUAUAUCAGACCGAAUUCCAACUGAUAGUUAACAAUUAAAUAAACCUAUAUAUUAAUUAAUAAUUUAUUAUUAUAUUGUUAAUCCAACACCGGAGUGUUUACAAGGAAAGAUUAAAAAAAGUAAAAGGAACUCGGCAAACAUAAACCCCGCCUGUUUACCAAAAACAUCACCUCUAGCAUUACCAGUAUUAGAGGCACUGCCUGCCCAAUGACAUUAGUUUAACGGCCGCGGUAUCCUGACCGUGCAAAGGUAGCAUAAUCAUUUGUUCCUUAAUUAGGGACUUGUAUGAAUGGCCCCACGAGGGUUUGGCUGUCUCUUACUUUUAAUCAGUGAAAUUGACCUUCCCGUGAAGAGGCGGAAAUAUAAAAAUAAGACGAGAAGACCCUAUGGAGCUUAAAUUAAAGUGUUCAACAAAAUUUUAACUUAAUCCAACAGGAAUAGCAACAUUUUAACUGAACAAUAAAUUUUGGUUGGGGUGACCUCGGAGCAUAACAAAACCUCCGAGCAGUUUAACUUAGACUUACUAGUCAAGUGAAUAUAAUCUAUUGGUCCAUCAUAUUGAUCAACGAAACAAGUUACCCUAGGGAUAACAGCGCACUCCUAUUUGAGAGUUCAUAUCGACAAUAGGGUUUACGACCUCGAUGUUGGAUCAGGACACCCAAAUGGUGUAGCAGCUAUUAAAGGUUCGUU